CAGGCUUGCUUUUUAUAUCAAGUGCUCAUAUCACAGCAGUUUGUUUGCUCAUGCUUUUCCUGUGCAACAUACUCUGUAGGGUCUGCUUUAGCAGAGGGUUGGACUAGAUGAUGUUCAGAGGUCCCUUCCAACCCCUACAAUUCUGAUUCUGCAUGACUCUGAAGCUGAGCCUCCCUAGCCUUACUUGGUGUGUUGCUCACACAGGUGCUGCGUCUGGGCUCUGGGAGGCAGAAAAGAGGUACACUUCUGGGGAACAAAUUAGAUCAGAAACAAGCCUCGUGGCUGUCUGGCAUUUGUUAAGGAUGAGCAUUAUUUCUGCCUCUUCAGAACAUGGAGCUUGGCAGCUGCUCCAGCUCUUCAGCACCGUCAGUCUGAGGACAUCAGAUAGAACACAGCCAUCCGCAGCAGUUACAGCUACUGCAAAAUCAAAGGUACCUCAGGGUCCCCACUCUUCCUGGGAAUGCUACGAUAUCCCUCUCCUCAUGCCCAGAAGGUUAAACUUCUGUUGUUUAUUGGUUGAUUAGAAAGUAAUCCUGGUUAGUCUUUCUCUUCGUUAUUUACCACCACUCUUUCAGUCUUGCCAUCAACCUUCUUCAUCACUAAUGACUUUAGUUUUCUCUCCAUGUCACUAAGGAGUGGUAAAGUGUAGGGCUGAAAACUGGACAAGUGCUAGGGACACUUCUGCUCACUGAGAUCUCCCUUUCUAUGUUUUGUAGUGAAUCUGUCAUCUGUGGUGAUCUGUCAUCUAUCAGCUUGCCCUUCUUAAAGCAUGGAUAUGUGCCAAGCUGACUCUUUUUGGUGUUGUCCUAGCAUCUCCAUCAAAAUGUCAUGAAGAUAUCAAGUCCAGUACAUUUGUAAAAAUAUAUAUUACCUCAGUACUAUUAUACUUAUUGGAAGCUCUAAUUUUAUUUAGAGAAAAGAUGUCAAAUUAGUUUGUGGAGCUCUGUUUUCCAUAAAACUAUGCUGCUCAAUUCUAUUACCUUCCUUUAAUUUUUAAUGGAUUAAUUCCUGUAUCUGUUCCUCCA
rnacentral:lncRNA from 1 species